ACUAAGCCUUUUUUGACCUAAGGCAUUUAUCCCAAAGAACAGGAGGCUUUACCAUCUCUCACAGGGUUUGCGGUAAGGGUGGUACUUCUCUACUUCCCACCAAGAUUUGCUUCGUUACAAGGCUGAACACAUGGAAAAGUUAUGUGAAUGCUUCACCUGGCAGCCAGCUUGAAACUCCAGCACAAGGAACCACUGUGACUUCAUUUGGACUUCAAAGGGAAAUGCCACAGUUCUGCUGAACAAAUGCUCGAGAGUGCUGAGAGGCAGCAGUGAAGAGGUUAAAUAUAUAUUAAUGUGGGCCAAGAUUCUAUUUUUUACCAAAACUUGAAUGCAUGAAGAAAUUGAUCCUACUGCAUCAAAAUUUGUGUCCGAGGUUGCAGUCUUCAAUAUGCAGCCACCAUGUCUGUCCAAGAAGGCAUUUAGUUUGGUUAAUCCCACGUUAUUGAGAAUCUGGGGGGAUCUCUACAUUGUGUAGGAGAACUGUACAGUCUCUUUGCCUGUGAAGCAAAGUGACUGUGUCAACUCUUGCACAGAUUCUGUGAUGACUGGGUGUGUUGAGAAACAGGACAGAUCACUGAGGCUGCAUGGUAAUACUGGUAUGAUAUACUGUUUUCAAGGUCUAAGCUAAUGAGACUCCAAAGCUGUACAACACUGUACAACAUAGAUAUAUUAUCUCAGUUUCUGUUGUAGGAUUUGUAUCACUAUGUGACUGAGACUCAUCAUCAAAUUAAUAAGGCA
ensembl:lncRNA